rnacentral:rRNA from 1 species
UUGAACGCUGGCGGCAUGCUUUACACAUGCAAGUCGAACGGCAGCACGGGUGCUUGCACCUGGUGGCGAGUGGCGGACGGGUGAGUAAUACAUCGGAACGUGUCCAGAAGAGGGGGAUAACGCAUCGAAAGAUGUGCUAAUACCGCAUAUGCUCUGAGGAGGAAAGUAGGGGAUCGAAAGACCUUGCGCUUUUGGAGCGGCCGAUGUCUGAUUAGCUAGUUGGUGGGGUAAGGGCCUACCAAGGCGACGAUCAGUAGUUGGUCUGAGAGGACGGCCAGCCACACUGGGACUGAGACACGGCCCAGACUCCUACGGGAGGCAGCAGUGGGGAAUUUUGGACAAUGGGCGCAAGCCUGAUCCAGCAAUGCCGCGUGAGUGAAGAAGGCCUUCGGGUUGUAAAGCUCUUUCAGUCGAGAAGAAAAGGCUGCAGUGAAUAACUGUAGUUUAUGACGGUAUCGACAGAAGAAGCACCGGCUAACUACGUG